ACUACACCGAGGGAGGAAUAAUCAGGUACAGAGUACACUACACUGAGGCGAGUUAAAAUCAGGCACAGAGUACACUACACUGAGGGAGGAAUAAUCAGGUACAGAGUACACUACACUGAGGGGGGAAUAAUCAGGCACAGAGUACACUACACUACACAGGGGGGAAUAAUCAGGUACAGAGUACACUACACUGAGGGAGGAAUAAUCAGGCACAGAGUACACUACACUGAGGGAGGAAUAAUCAGGCACAGAGUACACUACACUGAGGGAGGGAAUAAUCAGGUACAGAGUACACUACACUGAGGGAGGGAAUAAUCAGGUACAGAGUACACUACACUGAGGGAGGGAAUAAUCAGGUACAGAGUACACUACACUGAGGGAGGAAUAAUCAGGCACAGAGUACACUACACCGAGGGAGGGAAUAAUCAGGCACAGAGUACACUACACUGAGGAAGGAAUAAUCAGGUACAGAGUACACUACACUGAGGGAGGAAUAAUCAGGUACAGAGUACACUACACUACACAGGGGGGAAUAAUCAGGUACAGAGUACACUAUACUGAGGGAGGAAUAAUCAGGCACAGAGUACACUACACUGAGGGGGGAAUAAUCAGGCACAGAGUACACUACACUGAGGGAGUGAAGGAGGGAGAGGGGAUUAAAGGUACUGAGUACACUACGCAUGGAUCAGGGGUAUAUGAAGUGCACUGGAACUGUGUUUAAUUAUGCUGCAGGUGUACAGCACCUUUAGAGAGACUGAAAGGGCAGGUGGCUGGGGGAAGGCACAGUGGAUACUUUACUAAAGGAACAUUGCACUAAGGGAGAGAGAGGGAGGGGUAGAGAGAGAGAGAGAGAGAGAGAGAGAGAGAGAGUCCCAACACAGUUCUGACCAUCAAGAGCUGCUCCAUACUCUACAGGCUAGUAAUUCUGAGGGCAGACCUCUUGCGUAACUUGGCAUUAGCAGUGCACUCAGAGGGUCUGUACAGUAUGACUGAACCAGCAGCACACAACCUGACCACCGCCCACACUCGUUUCCAUUAGGGCAACGUAUGGAGCAGGUGUAUGUACAUUCUGUCUCUUUUGCCUUUCUUUCUUUUUCUCCCUCUCCCUCUUUCUUUCUCUCUUUCUCCCUGUUUCUCUGUCACACGCAGCUUGUUUUGUAUCUGCCGUGUAUGAAGCGUGCUGUCGGGUUUGCCUAAAUCCGCCAUUCGGCUCAAACCGGUUCAAGCCCAGCUGUGGCCCUUGCUGUAGUGAAAUACUGCAAGCGCAUUGAACAAUUGGCGUCAAACAAGUUGGUUCAGUAUCAUAUGCUUGUAUUUGGAUUUUUUAAACAUGUCCUUGCUUGGGAAGGUCAGGAAUGUGUUAUGAAUACAGAAUACUAUUUAGAAACUAUUAUCUGUGUACUGCGCACCGUAUUCAAGUGUUGUAGCUAAUGUAAUCUGUACAACAGCAGGUCUUAUCACGGACUGAAAAUAGCACCGCAGGAGAGACGGCUUUGUGUUGCUCUUAUUCUGACAUAAGUGUCUGCUGUCGGCACAACACAUUCAGUAUGGAUAUCAUGUGUAUGUUUUAUAUGGAGUGUGUUAUAUACGGUUUCUGUGUCUUUUCACUUUGUCUGACGCCUGUCUUUUUUUUUUAACCCUUUCUACAAGUCUAAGUACACUUUCUAUGCAUUCCUUAUAAUUCUCCUCAGUGGAACAUUUACUUGUAAAUAUAUAUUCACUCAAAUGCCUUAAGAUUAUUUUUAUAGUAAUUAUUCCAAUGUAUUUUAAAAUGAUUUUGUAAACAAUGAUGUUAUUUAAAUAGAUUCUUCGGAUGUAAAAUGAUGCUAGUUUUAAGCUGAUUGAUAAAGACUGAAAUUAUUGGACAAGAUUUAAUCAAUUGCUGCAAUAAUUUGGUUCAUUUCUCUGGAAAAAAAACUAUUUGUGCAUAUGCAAUUAUGUGAAAAGUAAUCCUUUUUUAUGUGAUUUUUAAUGAUUCUAUGCUGGAGAAAGGUACAAAAUUGUUAGAUCAGAUCAUUUCAACUGUGAAUUGGUAUUUUUGCAAUCCGUCAACUUUGUUUGCAUUUUCCUUCUUAUAAAACUCAGCAAACAAAACAACCAAAAAUGCAUCAA